rnacentral:rRNA from 1 species
UACGAAGGGGGGCUAGCGUUGCUCGGAAUCAUUGGGCGUAAAGCGGGUGUAGGUGGCUCUGUAAGUCAGGAGUGAAAGCCCCCAGGCUUAACCUGGGAAGUGCUUUUGAUACUGCAGAGCUUGAAUGUGGGAGAGGAUGGUGGAAUUCCUGGUGUAGUGGUGAAAUACGUAGAUAUCAGGAGGAACUCCGGUGGCGAAGGCGCCAUCUGGCCCAACAUUGACACUGAGACCCGAAAGCGUGGGGAUCAAACAGG